rnacentral:rRNA from 1 species
CUUUACUGUAACCUGGAAUUGGGUUCGGGCUUUGCUUGCGCAGGAUAGGUGGGAGGCUUUGAUCCAUUGCUUGUGGGUGAUGGUGAGCCAACGGUGAGAUGCCACUCUUUCAGAGCUAGGGUUCUAACGGUCACCCGUCAUCCGGGGACCGGACAGUAUCAGGUGGGCAGUUUGACUGGGGCGGUCGCCCCCUAAAAGGUAACGGAGGCGCGCAAAGGUUCCCUCAGGCUGGUUGGAAAUCAGCCGACGAGUGUAAAGGCAGAAGGGAGCUUGACUGUGAGACCUACAAGUCGAACAGGGACGAAAGUCGGCCUUAGUGAUCCGACGGUUCUGAGUGGAAGGGCCGUCGCUCAACGGAUAAAAGUUA